rnacentral:rRNA from 1 species
AGGGUGUAAACGCUGCGGGCUUGGUGUUGGGGGUCCUUAGUGGGCGCCCAGUGCCGGAGAGAAGUUGUUAAGCCUGCUGCUUGGGGAGUAUGUCCGCAAGGAUGAAACUUAAAGGAAUUGGCGGGGGGAGCACCGCAACGGGAGGAGCGUGCGGUUCAAUUGGAUUCAACGCCGAAAAACUCACCAGGAGCGACGGAUAUAUGAAGGUCAAGCUGAUGACUUUACCUGAUUUUCCGAGAGGUGGUGCAUGGCGUAGUCGUGU